rnacentral:rRNA from 1 species
AGAUUGAACGCUGGCGGCAGGCCUAACACAUGCAAGUCGAGCGGUAGAGAGGUGCUUGCACCUCUUGAGAGCGGCGGACGGGUGAGUAAAGCCUAGGAAUCUGCCUGGUAGUGGGGGAUAACGCUCGGAAACGGACGCUAAUACCGCAUACGUCCUACGGGAGAAAGCAGGGGACCUUCGGGCCUUGCGCUAUCAGAUGAGCCUAGGUCGGAUUAGCUUAGUUGGUGAGGUAAUGGCUCACCAAGGCGACGAUCCGUAACUGGUCUGAGAGGAUGAUCAGUCACACUGGAACUGAGACACGGUCCAGACUCCUACGGGAGGCAGCAGUGGGGAAUAUUGGACAA